CGAAUGAGGAGAGGAAGAAUAAAAGAAAGCAGGAACACAAGGAGGAUAGGUGAGUGGUGUUUUUCUGCGUCAUGUUUAUAACUGACUUUUACUGUUCUUAAUUAUCUUCUCUCAACU
rnacentral:ribozyme from 1 species